ensembl:snRNA U1 U1 spliceosomal RNA
GUAUUUAUUUGGCAGGGGAGAUACCAUGAUUAUGAAGGUGUUUUUCCUGGGGCAAGGCUUAUUCAUUGCACUUCAGAUAUGCUGAUUCCUGCGAUUUCCCAAAAUGUGGGAAACUUACCUGCAUGAUUUGUGGUUGUGGGGGAUUGCAAUCACACUCACCUCUA